UACGUAGGGUGCGAGCGUUAAUCGGAUUUACUGGGCGUAAAGCGUGCGCAGGCGGCCCGUUAAGACAGGUGUGAAAUCCCUGGGCUCAACCUAGGAAUUGCGCUUGUGACUGGCGGGCUCGAGUACGGUAGAGGGGGGUGGAAUUCCUGGUGUAGCAGUGAAAUGCGUGGAGAUCAGGAGGAACACCGAUGGCGAAGGCAGCCCCCUGGGCCUGUACUGACGCUCAUGCACGAAAGCGUGGGGAGCAAACAGG
rnacentral:rRNA from 1 species